GGAUUGUGGCUCAGUGGUAGAGCGCUCCCCUAGCAUGGGCAAAACCCGAGUUCGAUUCUCAGCACCA
rnacentral:tRNA from 1 species